AGCCGCUUUUUCUGUAGAAGCGGCAAAGAGACACCGCGACUGAGACUGCCCCGAAGGUCGGGGACCGGUUUCGCACAGAAAGAAGAACAAAAUGGCUACAGGUACCGUGAAGUGGUUCAACGCUGAAAAGGGCUUCGGCUUCAUCGAGCCCGACGACGGCUCGGCCGACGUCUUCGCCCACUACUCCGCCAUCAACUCCAAUGGCUACCGCUCCCUCGAAGAGAACCAGAAGGUCUCCUUCGACACCGAGCAGGGCCCCAAGGGCCCGCAGGCCGUGAACAUCUCCGGUCUGUAAGCAUCCGCUUACCCGUUGGGCAGGACGCAUUUGCGUCCUGCCCUUCG
rnacentral:misc_RNA from 1 species